UAGGGAAUAUUAGAAAUGGACGAAAGUCUGAUCUAGCAACACCGCGUGUGCGAAGAAGGCCUUCGGGUUGUAAAGCACUUUUUGGAAGGAUUAGGAAGGAAUGUACUUCCAGAAUAAGUCUCGGCUAACUACGUGCCAGCAGCCGCGGUAACACGUAGGAGGCAAACGUUAUCCGGAUUUACUGGGCGUAGAGCGCGUGUAGGUGUUUCUGUAAGUAGGGCGUGAAAGCUCCUGGCGCAACUGGGAGAGGCCGUUCUAAACUGCAGAGCUAGAGGAUGGUAGAGGGAGGUGGAAUUAUGGGUGUAGCGGUGGAAUGAGCAGAUAUCCGGAGGAACACCAGGGGCGAAAGCGCCCUUCUGGACCAUACCUGACACUCAGACGCGAAAGAUAGGGUAGCAAACU
rnacentral:rRNA from 1 species